rnacentral:rRNA from 1 species
UACGUAGGGGGCAAGCGUUGUCCGGAUUUAUUGGGCGUAAAGAGCGUGUAGGCGGUCUGGUAGGUCCGUUGUGAAAACUCGAGGCUCAACCUCGAGACGCCGAUGGAAACCAUCAGACUAGAGUCCGGAAGAGGAGAGUGGAAUUCCUGGUGUAGCGGUGAAAUGCGCAGAUAUCGUUUGGAACGCCAAUGGUGAAAACAGACAGCUGGGAGUGUGCUGACGCUGAGACACGAAAGCCAGGGGAGCAAACGGG